rnacentral:rRNA from 1 species
UGGCGGACGGGUGAGUAACGCGUGGGUAACCUGCCUCAUACAGGGGGAUAACAGUUAGAAAUGACUGCUAAUACCGCAUAAGGCCACAGCACCGCAUGGUGCAGGGGUAAAAACUCCGGUGGUAUGAGAUGGACCCGCGUCUGAUUAGGUAGUUGGCGGGGUAACGGCCCACCAAGCCGACGAUCAGUAGCCGACCUGAGAGGGUGACCGGCCACAUUGGGACUGAGACACGGCCCAAACUCCUACGGGAGGCAGCAUG